AUUUAUAUAAUAUAUUUAGUAUAUUUGACUUCCAAUCAAAAUGUUUAAUAAUAGUUUUAAUAUAAAUA
rnacentral:tRNA from 1 species